CGAUAACGAUAACGAUAACGGAGAUCUCACAGUUAUUUUUAGGAAGAGGAAGUAAACACAAUGUCGACGGUGAUUUUGUAUCCUUGCGGUUCCUUCUCCGUUUCCGACAAUGUUUUUUUCUAAUUGUUAGGUCAAUCAAUGUUACUGGUUGAUGAGACUAUCUGAGCAUAAAAGUAAAUAAAACUAACCAAAGGCUAUUUAUGUCAUUUACCAGAGGUAACAAAACAUUCUCGCUUUUAUCAAUUUGAUUUAACGGCUUGGUUAUAUAUUAAUAAACACAUAGUUUUGUUUACAUACGACUGAGUUAAAAUAACUUAAAAGUUAAUAAAGCUGAGUUACAUAACACGCGAAAGCUGACUUAUGAUGACAAAACAUGACAAAACAUGACUAAACAGAGAAGUAGUAGUAGCAAAGUAUCGCCAUUCCAGCCACACAAACAACCACAUUCCUCAAACACCGACUCUCACUCAAACAUUCGCCUCCUUUUCUCUCAGAUUCUGUCUUUACUCCAUUCGCCAACCGACCAACGUUAACUCGCAACUCCGAGAUGUCUCUAUUCAUGCCAUUUAUC
rnacentral:lncRNA from 1 species